rnacentral:misc_RNA from 1 species
UUAAGUUCAGCGGGUAUUCCUACCUGAUCCGAGGUCAAACUUUCAGAAGUGGGGGGUUUAACGGCGUGGCCGCGCUGCGAUCCAGUGCGAGUGUUGCUACUACGCAGAGGAAGCUACAGCGAGCCCGCCACUGGUUUCAGGGCCUGCGCAGCCGCAGGUCCCCAACACAAGCCGGGGGCUUGAUGGUUGAAAUGACGCUC